AGCAGCCGCGGUAAUUCCAGCUCCAAUAGCGUAUAUUAAAGUUGUUGCAGUCAAAAAGCUCGUAGUUGAAUUUCGGGGUUAGUAGGUUGGUCAUGCCUCUGGUAUGUAUUGGUCUCACUGAUUCCUCCUUCCUGAUGAACCUUAAUGCCAUUUAUUUGGUGUUUUGGGGAAUUUGGACUGUUACUUUGAAAAAAUUAGAGUGUUUAAAGCAAGCUAACGCUUGAAUACAUUAGCAUGGAAUAAUGAAAUAGGACGUUCGAUCCUAUUUUGUUGGUUUCUAGGAUUGACGUAAUGAUUAAUAGGGAUAGUUGGGGGCAUUAGUAUUCAAUUGUCAGAGGUGAAAUUCUUGGAUUUAUUGAAGACUAACUACUGCGAAAGCAUUUGCCAAGGAUGUUUUCAUUAAUCAAGAACGAAAGUUAGGGGAUCGAAGACGAUCAGAUACCGUCGUAGUCUUAACCAUAAACUAUGCCGACUAGGGAUCGGAUGAUGUUAAUUUUUAAUGACUCAUUCGGCGCCUUAC
rnacentral:rRNA from 1 species